AUUGAACGCUGGCGGUAUGCUUAACACAUGCAAGUCGAACGAUGAAAAAGAGCUUGCUCUUUCGAUUAGUGGCGGACGGGUGCGUAACGCGUAGGAAUCUACCUAUUAGUGGGGGACGACUUAGGGAAACUCAAGCUAAUACCGCAUACGCCCUAAGGGGGAAAGAAGGGGAUCGCAAGACCUUUGGCUAAUAGAUGAGCCUGCGUAGGAUUAGCUAGUUGGUGGGGUAAAAGCUCACCAAGGCGACGAUCCUUAACUGGUUUGAGAGAAUGAUCAGUCAGACUGGAACUGAGAUACGGUCCAGACUCCUACGGGAGGCAGCAGUGGGGAAUAUUGGACAAUGGGCGAAAGCCUGAUCCAGCAAUACCGCGUGUGUGAAGAAGGCCUUAGGGUUGUAAAGCACUUUCAAUUGGAAGGAAAACCUCGAAGCUAAUACCUUCGAGUUUGACAUUACCUUUAGAAGAAGCACCGGCUAACUCCGUGCCAGCCGCCGCAGUAA
rnacentral:rRNA from 1 species